AGAGCCUUUCUCAGUGAGGGUGUCUGAAGCAUGAGGGUCUGGCAGGGGCAGGCUGGUGCAGGCGGCACUGAAGAUGACCCCUCAGCAUUAAAGUUUGUCUAUUUCUAGCCAACAUCUAUAGAUUAGAAAUACAGUGGAGGCUUGACACAUAAACCUACGGAGAAAAACACUAGAAUAAGCGAAAAUGGAGAUAGAAUUGGCCUUAGGUAAUGUGCACACACACACUUACACACAUGGAUUCUGAUAGAAUUGGCCUUAGGUAAUGUACACACACACAUACUUACACACAUGGAUUCUGAUAGAAUUAGCCUUAGGUAAUGUGCACACACACACACUUACACACAUGGAUUCUGAUAGAAUUGGCCUUAGGUAAUGUACACACACACAUUUACACACAUGGAUUCUGAUAGAAUUGGCCUUAGGUAAUGUACACACACACAUACUUACACACAUGGAUUCUGAUAGAAUUAGCCUUAGGUAAUAUACACACACACAUACUUACACACAUGGAUUCUGAUAGAAUUGGCCUUAGGUAAUGUACAUACACACAUACUUACACACAUGGGUUCUGAUAGAAUUGGCCUUAAGUAAUGUACACACACACAUACUUACACACAUGGGUUCUGAUAGAAUUGGCCUUAGGUAAUGUACACACACAGAUACUUACACACAUGGAUUCUUAGCAUAAACCAGUAAUCCAUAAUUUAUUUGAGUGGCAACCUGUCAUCAUAGGCAAGCAGGUGCACUUGUAGACUUGGUGUGGUAUCUGUAGCUUGGCUGCCACGCUAGACAUUGUGUUAGCAGUUACUAUGUCUAAUAGAUGCCUGGUUAGGAUUGGUUCUUGCAUCACUAACCUAAUUCUUCUAUCUUUUCCCC